ensembl:lncRNA
GAGAUUUUGAUCAGCUGGCCAGAAAAGAAGUACCAGAGGGAAUGUGAUCAGGAUUUAGAUAUUUUAAGUUCCUUAUUGGAAGAGAAUCCAAGUGUCAAAUCCUGCUGCAGACAUUGGAGAGCUGUGUGUGACAGGCCCGCCUUCUUGCUCCCUUUCCUUCCCUCCUCCCCCUCAAUAGAAGGAAGCCAAAGCCACCUCCACUUUACCUUGGUUUGAGUGCUUGCCGGUGCCAGGCUCCGGGUCCUGAGUGGCUCUUUGUUGCCUCAAAGACCAAACCCUGUCCAGUCAGACUUGCACAGCUCUCUGUCUUCAUUGGAACUGACUCAUUGGAAGAGACCCUGGUGCUGGGAAAUAUUGAAGGCAAGAGGAGAAGGGGAUGACAGAGGAUGAGAUGGUUGGAUGGCAUCACCAACUCGAUGGACAUGAGUUUGAGCAAGCUCCAGGAGUUGGUGAUGGACAGGGAGGCCUGGCAUGCUGCAGUCCACAGGGUCGCAAAGAGUCAGACACGACUGAGCAACUGAACUGAACUGUCUUAAUUUUCUCAUGCAGUCCUCAAAGCAGCUCUGGGCCGUGUCUCAUCACCCACUUCUACACGUGUCCAACUCUGCAAUUCAGGAUCAGCAAUUGCCCUGAAUCUCCCAGCUCCUGAGUAGUACUGAGAGGACUUGAACCCAGGAUUCUGAUAACAAUUCACUGGCUCUUUUUUUUUGUUUUUUCCACCAUUUAGCAUAUUCCUAGGGAGAUGCCAUUUUCUCAAAUGUUUGGGCAAUGGCAGCUUGGUUUAAGUGCGGAAUAAGUGUGUGGCCUCACAAUUAGGAGAUAAAGGAGACCACUGUGGAGAAGACCACUGUUUGAAAAAAAACAUAAAAAGGCUUUACUAUCGUGGUGAUAUGCUUACCACACCCGCUUCUAUACCCAUGGACUCACUUUUCCUGCCUCUUGUCUGCAAGUUCCUCCUCCUCCCCUGUCUCUUCUCCUCCUACUUCUCUUUUCUUCACUUUUUUUUUUUUUCAUCUUUCUCAAUGAUCCCUCUCCCUGAAAGGGAGAAAAGGCUUUCCAGAGCCCUCUGCUUAUA